UUCGACACUUGGCUGUAAAAACUGGAAGAUGUGUGUGUGUGUGUGUGUGUGUGUGUGUGUGUGGUUGAAGCUGGUCUCACAAAGACCAGAUCUUGGCUCACAACUGCAGCAGGAAUGUGGUUGUGCUGUAAAAAUCUCAUAAAGGGCCGGUGGGGUGGUGGACUGCAGCUGUUUGUUGAUGACCAUUUGACAUUUACUUAGAUUUCACCGUGUUGUGCCGGAGCCAAGCAUCAAAUCUGAAAUAAUCAUCCAGGAAUCCAGGACCGUUGUGAGAAUAUUCCAGUCCACCUGCAGCAAGGGCUUCUGUUCCUGCCACCUGCUCUCAUUUCUCAGGAGAGGCACUGCUAGAAAUGGAUCGAUUCUGUUUUUUUCUGAUCCAGGCCUGUUUCACGACCUCCGCUUCCCGGUUUCUACAUUUUUAAAGGCAUGAAUAUUUGCAUGUGAGCCUUGAACAUCUUUCUUCUCCAAUGCUCACGAUUACACCCACAUUAUCCUAAACUCUGGAUUUUGUAUGCAUGCCUUUCCCACUUCAUUUUUUUGUACCCACCCAGAAGUGGAGAUCUCUGUUACAAAACGAACAACAACAAAAAAAUUAAGAAGUACACAGUUGGUUGGAUAACUGUGCUCUGAUUCAUGGAUCAGCCCAACCAUUGCAAAAUAACUCCACUCCCUUAAAAACCUUCCA